UACGGGGGGGGCAAGCGUUGUUCGGAAUUACUGGGCGUAAAGGGCUCGUAGGCGGCCAACUAAGUCAGACGUGAAAUCCCUCAGCUUAACUGGGGAACUGCGUCUGAUACUGGAUGGCUUGAAUUCGGGAGAGGGAUGCAGAAUUCCAGGUGUAGCGGUGAAAUGCGUAGAUAUCUGGAGGAAUACCGGUGGCGAAGGCGGCAUCCUGGACCGACAUUGACGCUGAUGGGCGAAAGCUAGGGGAGCAAACGGG
rnacentral:rRNA from 1 species